UAUUUCAGGUGGUUAUCCAAGUCCACUGGGUUGGUAGAAGUGGAAAGGGAAUGGUUUGCAAGGCACAGUGUUCUUGUUGUGUAGUGCCUUUGUUACAUGGGUGGGUUUUUUAGAGACUACAGUGGUGCAUGAGAACCUGAAGUCCUCCCUGGAAACAUCAGAUAUCUAGGUGUUUAAAAUGAGCACCCAUGUAAGGAGUUUGUUGUUUCAUAGGAGGGUUUACAUUUUGGGAAUGGCAACAAUCUUGAGAUCUUGGAGAGAAUGCUGAAGUCAGUGGGUGGUGGAUGGUGGAUGGUGGAUGGUGGAUGGUGGAUGGUGGGGUUGGGGUUGGAGUAUGGAAGUAUGCGUCGAAGGGUUCCUUUCCUUUUAUAAAGUUCCAGUUGUCUAUCUGUUGUUAUAUACGUGCAUGGACUAAGAAACAAGACCCAUCUAUUUGCUGCCAAGAAGACAAACUCCUAACAUGACACAUAGACUGAAAGAAGGAAAAAAGAUAUUUGAUGCGAACUGAAAAGGGCUUUCUAAUAUCAAACAACAUUGACAUUUUUAUUUAAGGAUUUUAUUUACUGAUUCCAAAUUCCCUAUGUACAGCUAAACAACAUAUACUUCAGCAGGAAAAUUGACAUAGAGGGAGUUCCCGCAAAGAACUCAGAUGCAGUUUGCUCCCCCAGGGCACUCCGGGAUGGAUUAUGGCAUCUGGCCUGCAGACACCUGAACCCUCGCUGCCACUGAUUGACGGCCCUAGUUGGGGCCUUGAAGAGGCGGCAAAGCCCCCCGGGCCCAGCUCAGUGAUCUCCUGUGGGCGAUGCCUCAGAAUGCAGACCCUGGCUCCAAGAGUUAGGCCUCCGUACACAACCAGCUGCUUGGGCUGAAGGCCAAAGUCCGCGGUGCCUCUGAGGCCCCUGCCCCGAGGCACCAAGGACGCUGCACCUUUGAGUGGUGAUGGUGAGGCCAUUCGAAUGCCGCAGUGGCCAUUAAGAGCUGGAGGGCCAGAGAAGGCGGGAUCUAUGGAUCCCUGACCAUGUUUUCAGGCUUUGGGGCAACCCAGAUCGAGGACCUGGGUUGACCGCUGUGUCACAGUUGGCCAACGCCUCAUCUGUUCCAUAGGCAGAGCCUCACGAGAGGACAGGAGGUGGAGCGGUGAGUGGCCGUGGGCAUGGGCUGGUGGUCUCGGCUCCUGCUGACAGUGGUGUCAUCAUGUUGAAGGCCGCCCCGAGAGGCCUGCUGCCCUAGGGAAUGUGUGCUGGCCCUUUUCAGAAGUUCCUAAAUGUAGGUUAAACACAGAAGGAGUGAAAUCGCGUUGUAAAUAUCUUUUCGGUAACAAUCAUGAAUUGCAUCUCUGGGGAAUGGAAUUUUUGGCCACCACAGUGAGCCUUGUGCCACCUGUGCUUGUUCUGCGUUUUAGAGGAGGUAGGAGGCGAGGAACUGCAAAAGGUGUUGCUACUUGGGAUGUUUUCAGCCAUUUCCCUGUAUGUUUUCUACAUUUCCUUUUACUCUGUAUAGUGUGUGUAUAAUGGUCAAAGGAGUCCUAAUGUUGCAACAUCAAGAUUGCAGAUGAUAUGUAUGACAGAAUUUGUAUUUAAAUUCAUAGGAAAGCUCAUCCUCUGUAAAUGACUUUUGGAUGUCCGUGGGUGAAGCCAUCUCUAAGCAUUACAUAAGCUUGUACCUGUUUACUAGAUCGAAGGCAGAGAGGAAAGUGAGAAGGGAACGGCUCCAGACCAAACUGGUCACAUUUAAAGGAUACCCCAGAUCCUAACCUUUAGACGAUGCGCAAUUUUGUUUAAGGUGUUGUGUUCUUAGUGGGCAAGCCCUGACCUGAGAAGACUUCAGAAAGUUCAUGGAAAAUGAAAUCAGAAGAAGCUUAUGUUGGUGCAAACAAAUUGAAGCCCAUACAGCUUCUUCGUACGAAGUAUUUUCUGUGAACUUUUGCAAGAGCUGCAUCUGUUGUGUUUGGUGCUGCUUCAGGGUGAAGUGGUGGAAAAAAAGUAAAGGGCUUUUUGCCAGCUUGUGUGUGGAGUGACAAGGUUAAGCAUGGGCCAUGCUGUUUGUCAUGUUGUUUUUCUUUUCUUUGCUGUGUCUAGAAUGUACAUAUACAGGGCAAAGGCAUGCUGCUUUACAACAUCUAGUCUUUGUAGGUGUUCAAGGGGUUGCUGGGGUAUGCUGAAAGUAGAGUUAGUGCUCAAUUUCUUUGAGUCUGCUUUGUGUUACCACUCGUGGGAAACACUGUUCUUUGAACCAGUAUGGAAGUGAAAUUGUUAGAUUCCCUGUAAGUGUUAGAGGCGGUUAUCCAAGUCCACUGGGUUGGUGGAGCUGGGAAGGGAAUGGUUUGCAAGGCACAAUGUGCUUGUUGAGAAGACACUCACAUUAGAGCCUUUCUUACAUGGGUGGCUUUCUUAGUUUGCCGUGAAUGGACUGGGGAGAAGUGGCGCAGAAUCAAGACACGGAUACUGGGAGUCAGGUGAAAGCAGGCUAGAGGCGAGCAGGUCACAGGCUCAUUCAUUCCAGGAAGUACGUAUGCUUCUACAGCCCAGGCAGCCAAGCUGCUCAAGGGGAGGUUUAGGCCGUAACCAAUCACAGCCUGUUGCAAGGCAGGCUCCCUUACCAGGAGGAUCCCUAUCAUUUCCUGAGUAGCUGAGCACAGGUCUGACUCUCUCGCCAGCGCCAUCCUGGCUCGGCAUUCUCAUUCCAUCACAGAAGUGAAGAGGUUAAAUUCCCUGUACGUAUUACAGGUGGUUAUACAGGUCCACUGGGUUUGUCGAAAUGCGAAGGGAAUGGUUUGCAAGGCACAGUGUUCUUGUUGAGAAGGCAUUCACUUUGGAGACUUUGUGACAUGGGUGGGUUUUUUAGAGGCUCAUUUGUGGUGGGUGGAGCAUGCAGUCCUCCCUGGAGACAUCGGGUCUCUAGGUGCUUAAAAUGAACACCCAGGUAAGCAGUUUGUCAUUUCAUAGGAGGGUUUACAUUUUGGGAAUGGCAUAAAUCUUGAGGUCUAGGAGAGAAUGCUGACAGCACUGGGUGGUGGCCAGCGUCAGGUGGGGGCGGGGUUUGGUGUGAGGGAGUAUGCAUUGAAGGGUUCCCUUCCUCUUACAAUGUUCCAAUCCUGUGUCCAUUGUUAUUUAUGCGCAUGGACUAAGACACAAGACCCAUCUAUUUGCUGCCAAGAAGAAAGACCCCUACCAUGAUACACAUAGACUGAAAGUGAGAGAAGGGAAAAGAUAUCCCAUGGGAACAGAAAAGAAGAGGGCAGUUGAAACCUUCCUGAAAUCAAACAUCUUAGACUUCUUUGAUUUAAAGCUUUUAUUUCAUGCAUGCAAAUUUCAUAUGUACAGCUAAACAACAUAUGUUUUAGCACAAAAACUUAAAAGAGACAAAGUGGGAGUUCCUGCUGAGAACUCAGAUGCAGUUUGAGCCCCAGGGCUCUCCGGGAUGGACUAUUGCAUCUGGGCUGCACACACCUGAACCCGGGCUGCCACUGAUCGGUGUCCCUGAUCGGGGCCUUGAAGAGGCGGCGAAGUCCCCCGGUCCCACCUCAGUGAUCUCCUGUGGGCGAUUGCCUCAGAGACCUUUCCCCGCCUCCGAGAGUAAGGGCUCUGCACCCCACCAGCAGCUGAGGCUCCAGGCCCAACCCCGUGGGCCUCUGUGAGGCUCAUGCUCUGAGGCACCAAGGACACUGCGCCUUUGAGUGGUGGCGGUGCGGUGACUCCAAUGCUGUGAUGGCCAUCAUGAUUUUGAGGGCCUGAGAAGUCGGGGUCUACAGACGCCGGCCAGGCCAGGCUUUCAGGCCUUGUGGCCACGCAGAUCCGGGACCUGCGGUGAGCGCUGUGUCACAGUUGGCCAACACCUCACCUGGGCUGUAGAUGAUGACGACAACUACCAAGGACUCCUCGGCCCGGCAGGGAGCAGAGCCCCGUGGGACAAUGGCCAGCAGAGCGGCCAUUAGCAGAGAGUUGGCUAAGAAGAGGAGCAGCCAGGACAUGAACGGCCAUGGUGCAGCAGGCCAAAGCUUAGCUGAUUCCACCACAGCUCUGAUCCCUUAACUGGCAUCUUAACGACCAGGCUGACAAUCUGCCCCUAUGAUCCAGCUCCAGCUCGGGCAUGGGCUCCAGCUCCAGCACCAGCUCUGAAUCCGACUCCGCCUCGGACUCAGACCCCAGCUCAGGCUCGGGUUCCCUGUGUCCCUGAGGAGAGAGGGGAAGACGGGGCUGUACCUGCUCCAGGCUCCGGGAGUCCGGCUGCAGGGACAUCCGGCUGGAUCCUCCAGGACCAGAUGGCACCGAGGCUCCAGCGUCCGGAAGCAGACCCAGGCCCGCCAGACAGAGUGGACAGUGAAAUAGACAGAGAGAAAGGUCUUCCUUUACCGUUGGUUCACCCUCCAACGGCCACCGCGGCCAGUGCACCACGCUGAUCCGAAGCCAGGAGCCAGGUGCCUCUCCUGGUCAUUCCUCAGUGUUUGUUCUGGAGGCUGGAUGACUAAAAUCAGGUCUGCAGCAGACUUGAUGUCUAAAAAGCACUCCCUCUCUGCUGCUGCCGUGCCUUCUUCAGAGAGAGAUGAAAAAAUGAACCCACUCAUCCUGUGAAAGAGAAUGGAGCCCUAGUCCUGCAUUCCCCACCUCUAUACUGUAGCAUUGACCCUGCAGUUUGAACAUGAAGUCUGGAGGGACAUGGACAUUCCUCACCACUAGUCCUGCUCUGCAUGAAAGGAAUCUUUGAGGCUGAACUACAGGAUGGUGAAUCCGAAAAGGAAUACGAUCUCUGGGAAGGCUAAUUGUCUGAAAUUUUUUGGUUCUUCUGUAUAGUUUGUCAUGAUCAAGUACAGGAUCAAGAAGGUCCACCGUGCAAUGCUUCCUGCAUACACACUGCAUCAUUGCUGGCUUCCAUCACACACCAGGCUAGUGGGACCACCUGAUCCUGAACCGUAAACCUCAAACUGACCCCAAAAGCGGUGUCCUCUUGUGACGACCCCAGAAACACAGACUCCGGACCAGACGAUGCAAUAGAACAGGAGAUUCUUGAGAUAUUGAUUUCUAGUUUCAUUCCAUCAUGGUCCAAGAAAAUCAUGGUAUGUUUGAAUUUUUUUAAUUUAUUGAGAGUUGCUUUGUGGCCUAGCAUAUGGUCUAUCCUAGAGAAUGUUCCUGUGCAUUGGUGAGAAGACUGUGUAUUCUGAAUCUGUGGGAAGAAAAAUUCAGUAGAUAUCCAUUAGGUUAUUUUUAGUCUAUAUGUCAUUUAACUGUUGUUUCCUUGCUGAUUUUCUGUCUGAUUGUUCUGCACAUUGCUGAAAAUGGAGUAUUGAAGUCCUCCAUUAUGAUUAUAUGGGCGUCUCUGUCUCCUUUUGGAUCCAUUAACAUUUCUUUUAAAUAGCAAGGUACCCUGUAAUUAGGUAAAUAUACAUUUUUUGAAAGGCAGAGUUACAGAGAGGCAGAUGCAGAGAGAAAGAGAGAGAGAGACAGACGUAUUUUAUCCACUUGUCUACUCCCCAGAUGGCCACAAUGGUUGGAGCUGAGCCAAUCUGAAGCCAGGAGCCAGGAGAUUUCUCCCAGUCUCCCAUGUGAUUGCAGGGGUGCAAGGACUUGGCCCAUUAUCCACUGCUUCCCAGGCCAUAGCAGAGAGAUGGAUCAGAAAUGGAGCAGCCAGGACUCGAGGUGGCCCCCAUAUGGGAUGUUGGCACCACAGGCAGCAGCCAUAACUGCUCCUCCACAACACUGGAUUAUAUGUACUCAUAUCUUCCCUGUUGGAAUGACCCCUUAAUCAUUGCUCAGUGGAGUAAGAAUUAUAAGUGUUUCUUUAAAAAAAAUUUAUUUAUUUGAAAGCCAGAGUUACACAGAGACUUGAGAGGCAGAGAGGCAGACAGAGAGAGAGAGAGAGAGAGAGAGAGAGGUGUCGCAUCUGCUGGUUCGCCCCCCGGUUGACCCCAAUGGCCAGAGCUAUGCCGAUUCAAAAUCAGGAACCAGGAGCUUCUUCUGGGUCUCCCACAUGGGUGCAGGGCCCCUAGCACUUGGGCCAUCUUCUACUGCCUUCCCAGGCCGUAGUAGAGAGCCGGAUUGGAAGUGGAGAAGCUUGGACUCAAACCAGCGCCCUUAUGGGAUUUCGGCUUUCAGGCAGUUGCUUUACACACGAUACCACAGUGCUGGCCCCUGUCAGUGUCUCUGAGACAUUUCUUUGAAGAACAAUUUCAAGUGUAAGAUUUCUGUAAGUAAUACCUGGCAUUGAAAUAGAUGUAAUCAUGUUUGCACACAGUGAAUGUUUAAAGAUUCAAAAACAGCACAGCAAUGUUCUCUAUAGCAGCAUUCAAAUAGAGUUCAUUGCAGUUUAAAUAAAACCCAGAGAGGUGCAGGUGUCUGGGGCAGGUCUCGAGACCCUACUUGAGAAGCACACAUGGACAGACUGCCCAAGUGCCUGGGUUCCAGUCCUGGCACUGCUUUCAAUCUCACGUUCCUACUCACACGCAGUGUAAGAGGAAGCAGGUGAACACCCAAGUCCUUGGUUCCCUGACACCCAGCAUGAGAGACCCAGAUGCAGAUCCAGGCUUCAGGCUUGGUCACCCCAAGUCUGCUGUCUUCCCAGAGAGGAAAGAGCACAUGCAGUGGACUAGAGACCCAAGAUCUGUGAUAAACAAGGCUGUUCAAUGUGUGCAGAGGGAAGGUGGGCAGGGGGCAGGUGAACAAAGGUCUCCAAUAUGAGGGGAGGAGCUGAGUCCUGCCCUGAAGGGGACAGAGCCAGGCAUGGCCUUGGAGGACAGCAACAGUGGGAGUCCACACUUCGUGUUGCUGUGAAAUAAAACCCACACUGUGGAACAGAUGGGAGCACCCAGCCUGCCACCCCGUCCCUGGCCUGCUUCUUGCUUCCCUAGCCCUGCCCUCAGGGAGGACAGUCUCACCUGGAUGGGGAGGAACCAGGAUUAUGAUAGGUGGGCUGUGAGCCUUGUAGUACACUGAAGAGGAAAGUCUUCCCCGCUGCCUCUCUUGGGAAUCCACAGUCUUGUGGCCCUGGAACCUGCCUUGGCAAAGGCCCCUUCCUACAGACACCAGCCCCUCCGAGCUGCUGUGCUUUACCAUCGCUCUCAACUCUGGAGCCCAGGGUCCAGGGAGGCUGAAGUUGGGACGUGGCAAAGCCUCUCGGGACUUCUCCAGGCCACAGAUCAUAGGAAGGGAAGAUGACUCCCAACAGGGCCUGCUUCUUGGGACCUUGGCACUGUGUUGUGAACUUGGGGCAGAUGCAAACACACCAGCAGGACCUCGUUCCCAUUGCAUCUCUGACAAUGCUAGCCAGCUCAUGUACAUGCAGGAUGCUCACAGAGAGUGUGUGUCUGCCCUGCACGUGGCCCACAGCCUUAUCCAUUGGCAUCACCAUGAAGAAUUUGUCACUCCUGGGGAUGACUUUGAGAUUUCUCUGGAGUCACUUUUCCCUGUAACUUAACCGAGGCCUCCAAGAAUGGCCUGCUCACCCGCAUAAUCUGGAGCACAGUGCAGCUCCAAUUCUGUCCAGGGAGGAGGCCGAACAGCAAAUACACUGUGAUCUGUAUGGGGGAGCAUCGAUCUUACCUUCAAAUCUGAAACAAAUGAUCAUUAGCUAAGAAACCUCUCCCAUCCCCCAGAAACAUGGAGGAGAAGAGGAACAAGGGUGUGGAGUGCUCUGUUCACAGCUUCCCCGGGUGGAGCCCAAGAGGCCCUCUCCUCCCCAGGUCCAAGAGGUCAGCCUUUGUGUUAACCCAGAGCAACGAGAGGGGACCGUACUUGUCCAGGGGAGAUCCAUCUGGUAGUCAACUCCAUCCAACCACGCCAAGGGCUGUACCUGCUCCAGGCUCCGGGAGUCCGGCUGCAGGGACAUCCGGCUGGAUCCUCCAGGACCAGAUGGCACCGAGGCUCCAGCGUCCGGAAGCAGACCCAGGCCCGCCAGCCACCUGCCGCUGGCUGGAAGCCUGGCGGGCCAGCACCACCAUGCCGAAGCUGCCCCAGCCCAGGGCCGACAGCAACUGGAGCUCAACCUGUGAGCUGUCGAUGGCAUCCAGGUCCUCACGGCCUUCCAGGCUAGAAAGUGGAAGGUCAGGGCUCCAGCAGACUCGUUGUCUGGAAAGCGCUCCCUCUCUGCUGCUGCUGCUGAGCCUUCUUCAGAGAGAGAUGUUUUGUUUCCCUUUUCCUGGUUGGAUGUGUAGGAUCCCUAUGGUGGCGAUGCUUAUCCAGAUGUGAAUCCUGCUUCUUCCUAGUUCCUGGGUGUGAAAGAUCAUCUAGUGCCGGGUGUUUUCAAGGAGCUCAGGAGGAGCAACCCCAGACGAAGGUGGGAGUCACAGUGCAAACCCAAUGAACCCUUCUCUCUUGAAACAUUCUUCCCAGUCUUGUCAUAUGUCACAGACAGAUGUGGUGUUUCAUUAGGAGCUAAAAAUGGGAGACGACUAUAAAUACAGUGCUUGGGAAGGGAGUUUGUUCUGACUAUGUAAGCCUAGGAGAAGGAAGACUUUAUCUCUGAGACAGGAUUGCAGCACUGGAUACCUCCUUGGGUGCAGAAGAUGGUGUAUUACAGUAUAACUCAGCUAAUAUUUGCCUGCUUUCACAGCUAUUCCAAGUCAUUGAAAGUCUUUGAUUGUUAAAAUUGUCCUCACAACAACUUGCAAGAAUAUUCCAGAAUCAGGCAUGAGAAAAGUGAUAAAAGGAGAGAAAAAGAGUGAGACAGCUCUUCCAUCUGCUGAUUUCAUUUCCCAAAUGCCCACAAGAGCCAGGGCUGGACCAGGCCGAAGCCAGAACACGGGAGAGUGACAGAAAGAAAGGGAAAGGCAGAGAAAACGCAAGAUCUUCCAUCCACUGGUUACUCCCUGAAUGUCCACAAUGAACAGAGUUGCUGAUUUCAUUUCAUUUGGGUAAGUUCCCAGAGUGGAAUGACUCUGACACAUGGUAGAUCUACUUUCAGAUUUCUGAGGAAUCUCCAUACUGUCUCCCAUAAUGGUUGUAUGAGUUUACAUUCCCCCCAACAGUGCGUUAGGGUACCUUUCCCCCACAUCCUUGCCAGCAUUUCUUUUUUGAUUUCUGGAUGAUAGUCAUUCUUACCUGGGUGAGAUGAAGCCUCCUUGUGGUUUUUAUUUGCAUUUCCCUGGUGGCUAGUGAUCCUGAACAUCUUUUGAUCUAUGCAUCAGCUAGUUGAAUUUCAUCCUUUGAAAAAUGCCUGUUCAUAUCUGUAGCCCAUUUCUUAACUGGAUUGCUUAUUUUGUUGUUGUUGAGUUUCUUGAGCUCCUCAUGUAUCCUGGAUAUUAAUCCUUUACUGGUUGUAUACUUUAUAAAUAUUUUCAUCCAUUUUGUAUGUUGUCUCUUCUUUUUGUUCAGAGUUUCCUUUGAUGUGCAGUCGCUUCUUGGCUUGAUGUAAUCUGAUUUGUCUAUUUUUGCCUUUAUUGCCUGUGUUUGUGGGGCCUUAUCUGACAAGUGUUUGCCUAUGUCAAUGUCUUGCAGUGUUUCUCCUGUUUUCUUCUAAUACUUUGAUAGUAUCAGGUCAUAGAUUGAAAUCCCUGAUCCAUUCUGACUUGAUAUUUAUGGAAGGGGGAAGAUAGGGAUCUUGUUUCAUAGUUCUGCAAUUUUCCCAACACCAUUUGUUGAAGAAACUCUUCUCCAGGGAGUGAUCUUAGGUUAGUGUCAAACGUUAGUUACAGAUGUGUGGAUUAAUUUCCAGAGUCUCUAAUCUGUUCCAUUGGUCUACAUACCUAUUCUUGUGCUAGUAUCAGGCUGUUCUGAUUAAAACUGCCCUAUAACAUGUCUUGAAAUCUGAUUUUGUGGUGCUUCUAGUGAUAUUUUUUUAAAGAUUUAUUUAUUUUACUUGAAAGUCAGAGUUACACAGAGAGAGGAGAGGAGAGGCAGAGAGAGAGAGAGGUCUUCCAUCCAAUGGUUCACUCCCCAAUUGGCCGCAAUGGCCAGAGCUGUGCCGAUCCAAAGCCAGGAGCCUCCUCCGGAUCUCCCACAUGGGUUCAGGGACCCAAGGACUUGGGCCAUCUUCUACUGCUUUCCCAGGCCAUAGCAGAGAGCUGGACUGGAAGUGGAGCAGCCGGGUCUCCAACCAGUGCCCAUAUGGGAUGCUGGCUCUUCAGGCCAGGGCGUUAACCUGCUGUGCCACAGAUAUUUUUAUUUUUUAAGAUAUUUGGAGUUUCGUGAUUCCAUAUGAAUUUCCAUAUGAAUUUUAGGGUCAUUUUUUCCAAAUCUGAGAAAAAUCUCUUUGAUAUUUUAUUUGAUAUUACAUUUAAUCUGUAAACUGCUUUGGGAUAUUUUGAUAGUAUUUCUUCCAAUCCAUGAACAUGGAAGAUUUUCCCAUUUUUUAAUGUCUUCUGCUGUUUUUCAUUAUGUUUUACAAUUUUCAUUGUAGAGAUCUUUCAAAUCCUGGGUUAUAAUUAUUCCAAAGUGUUUAAAUUUUUUGUAACUAUUGUGAAUGGACUGAUCCUACAAGCUGUUUCUCAGCCAUGGUACUGUCUUUGUAUUCAAAUGCUAUUCAUUUUUGUGUGUUGAUUUCAUAUCCUGCAACUCUGCCAAGCUCUCUUGUGAGUUUCAGUAAUCUCUUAGUGGAGUCUUUUUGUUCCCUUAUGUAUAGGAUCAUAUCUUCUGCAAACAGGGAUAAUUUGACUUCCUCCUUUCCCAGUUGUAUCAUUUUGAUUUCAUUAUCUGGCCUAAUGACACUGGCUGAAACUUCCAGAACUCCAUUGAAUAACAAUGGUGAGAGUGGGCAUCUGGUUUCAUAUCUUAGUGGAGGGGCUUCCAUCUUUUCCCCAUUAAAUAUGACACUGACUAUGCAUUUGUCAUAUAUUGCCUUGAUAGUGCUGAGGAGUGUUCCUUCUAUACCCAAUUUGCUUAAGGUUUUUAUCACGAAAGGAUGUUGUAUUUUAUCAGAUGCUUUCUCUGCAUCUGUUGAAAUAAUCAUAUGUCUUGUAUUCUUCAGUUUUUUAAUAUGAUGUGUCACAUUUAUUAGUUUGUAUGUUAACCAUCCCAGCAUACCAGGGAUAAAUGGCACUUGGUCCAGGAGAAUGAUCUCUCUUGUGUGUUGUUGGAUUCUGUUAGCUAAUAUUUUGUUGAGGAUUUUUUCAUCUAUGUUCAGGAGUGAUAUUGGUCUGUAGUUCUCUUUGUUUUUCUGGUUUUCACAUGUUCUUGUGUAAGAAUAUAAAGAGAAAAAUGGAAAAUUUGUAUAAGAUAUGCUUCAAAUUACCUUAGUAAUGAAAUAGAGUUCUAAAGGUUGAACUUCCAUUAAAAUUAUUUUUUCUUAUUUGUUUAAGGAAAAAAAAAGGACAGUGGUGCUUAAAUUAGGAAAGAAAGAAUCAUAUUUAACCUAGAAAUACUGUGCUGUCAGUAACUGGGGUGAUUUCAAUUUAAUCCCAUAAAAUCAAAACAAAAUCAAAUGCACCUGUUUGAUCCGGUAUUUAAAUUUAGGGUCCAGAGCUUCUAAUAAAGAAUAUUUUGAUCUGAAAAUGUAUUUUCUUGGCUUCUUCAUUUAACACAGAGACUAAAAGUACCACUUUUUCAUCUGAAGCCAAAUUCCACUUAUUAACUGUGUUGUACUUGGUAGGAAGUAUUGUCAGUUAACUCUACAAUGCUUAGCACAUACCUUCAGAAAUUCAUUUUUUCUAUGAAAGCAUGGAUGAGUCUACAGUAAGUGGUCACUCAGUUCACUCCGUGUCUCACCUACUCCUCCCAGCACAGAACCAGUGGUGGAAGAGACAGAUAUGACUUGUCCAAAACUUGUAUCUGGUCAGUGGUAGAAGUUGAGUUAGUGUUCCACACUUGUCUGAUUGGAAAGCUUGGAAUUGUUCCUCCAUCUACAACAGCUAUCUCUGGUAAGCCAUGAUUUUCAUUGUAGUCAGUAAAUUUGAGGUAGACUGACUGCUGUAGAGAGGGUUGUGCCUUCUGAAUAGAACUGGAUAGCGAGACACAGAGGAGCAUCUGCCUGAGGUCUGUGGUAUUCUCUGUCUCUACUGCUUUACAGAUCUCCCAGGCCUGUGCAUUUCCAACUCCCUCCUGCCUUUACAUGGUCAUCAUAUUCUACUUCGCUCAUCUUUUAAUUCCAUUUUUUUUUUUGACAGGCAGAGUGGACAGUGAGAGAGAGAGACAGAGAGAAAGGUCUUCCUUUUGCCGUUGGUUCUCCCUCCAGUGGCCGCCGUGGCCGGCGCAUAGCGCUGAUCUGAAGGCAGAGCCAGGUGCUUCUCCUGGUCUCCCAUGGGGUGCAGGGCCCAAGCACUUGGGCCAUCCUCCACUGCACUCCCGGGCCACAGCAGAGAGCUGGCCUGGAAGAGAGGCAACCGGGACAGAAUCUGGUGCCCCGACCAGGACUAGAACCUGGUGUGCUGGCGCUGCAAGGUGGAGGAUUAGCCUAUUGAGCCACGGCGCCGGCCCUUUUAAUUCCAUUUUUCUAUGAAUUUUUUGAAGUGCCCUUGUAGAUAGGCUAUAGUUUAAUUAAACAAGAACAAACACAUUACUUCCAUUUUCUUUAAAGCAAAACAAAAUUAAUCAUAGCAAAAUAAACAUUUCCAGUAUUAAUGUUAUAAAAUAAACGAAAAGAUUUAGUUUAGAAUUCCCUUCAGAGUACUGUUUCCUUUUAAAAGAGUUUAAGACUUUUUUGUUUAUGAAUAUAACAUUUCAAAUAUUCUUGUUUAUGCUAUAUUUUCAUUAACACUAGUUUAAAUAGUAAAAACUACUUAAAACUGUAUUAAACUAACUUAAAACUGUAUAAACUAACUUAAUACAGAGUGGACAGUGAGAGUGGACAGUGAGAGAGAGAGACAGAGAGAAAGGUCUUCCUUUGCCGUUAGUUCACCCUCCAAUGGCCGCCAUGGCUGGUGCGCUGCACACCGCGCUGAUCCGAAGGCAGGAGCCAGGUGCUUCUCCUGGUUUCCCAUGGGGUGCAGGGCCCAAGCACUUGGGCCAUCCUCCACUGCACUCCCUGGCCACAGCAGAGAGCUGGCCUGGAAGAGGGGCAACCAGGACAGAAUCUGGUGCCCCAACUGGGACUAGAACCCAGUAUGCCGGCACUGCAAGGCAGAAGAUUAGCCUGAUGAGCCGCGGUGCCGGCCAUAAAAUUUACUUUUAACUCUUAGCAUCCUCCUCAUCCCCUGCCAUUGAUCUUCCUUCACCAAAACUACAGCAGAAACUGUAAGAAGUUGUUCUAGUCUGUUAUUUGUAGAUUAUUUCACUCAAUUAAUGCCAUAAUUUAAGUGAUUUAAGCACCAGUUACUGAAACACAAAUAUCUGUGUGAUAUUUCUGUAAUUUCCUUUAUAAAAUAUAAAGGGCAUCCUGUCAAAGUCCAUACAGGACCUAGAACAAAAUCCCUAUAGGAUGUAUUCCAUAAAUACAGUAUAUUUGGCAACCGUAAUGGGAGUACAAACUGAUAGAUGCUUCCAAAGCAGAUUUUCUUUUUGAUUCUGUAUUUGAACCUAGCCAGAGAUGAGGAACCUAUAUGUCUGGAAUCCAUUCUGAUUAUAAGUAUGAUCUUACUGUGGAAAACCUAAUCUUUGUUAUAAUAAUUUUUUUUUAUUUUCACCCAAUUUGAUGUAAUCCCAUUUGUCAAUUUUGGCUGUGACUGCCUAUGCCUUGGGGGUCUUUUCCUAGAACUCUUUGCCUAUGCCAAUGUCUUGCAGGGUUUCCCCAAUGCUCUCUAGCAAUUUGAUGGUAUCAGGUCGUAGAUUUAUGUCUUUAAUCCAUUUUGAGUAUAUUUUUGUAUAUGGUGUAAGGUAGGGGUCUUGCUUUAUACUUCUGCGUGUGAAGAUCCAGUUUUCCCAGCACCAUUUGUUGAAGAGACUAUCCUUGUCCUAGGGAUUGAUUUUAGCUCCUUUGUCAAAGAUAAGUUGGUUGUAGAUGCUUGUAUUGAUUUCUGGCAUUUCUAUUCCAUUCCAUUAGUCUGUCUUCUGUUUUUGUACCAGUACCAGGCUAUUUUGGUUACAACUCCUUGUAGUAUGUCUUGAUAUCUGGUAUUGUGAUGCUUCCAGCUGGUGUUUUUUUUUUUUUGUCUACUAUAAGAUUGCUUUAGCUAUUCAGAAUCUCCUAUAUUUCCAUAUAAACUUCAACAUCAUUUUUUCUAUACCUGAGACGAAUGUUCUUGGUAUUUGGAUUGGUAUCUCACUGAAUCUGUAAAUUGCUUUUGGUAGUAUGGACAUUUUUUUUUCUCAAAAUGUGGGUAUCAUUUACUUAGACAACAGUCCUAGAUUGUGCAGUACAACACACAUUGUAAGUAUGAGACUUCCGUUUCAUGGUCAAGCACCAGCAUCAUGUACACAGCAUCAAGUUAUUUAGGAAGAACAAUGCCCUGUGGGAUCCACUUGAUUGUGAGCAGUCUCCUCCCUCGUUCACUUCACCACUUUCCCUUCUGGUUAGUUUGAUUGUACAACUGAGGCCGUCUGUUGCUAGUGGCAGCUAGCUUUGUCAUUACCCAACCAGUCCAGCUAAUAUCUGGCUUACCUUUAUCUGAAGGAAAAAAAGUAGUUUCUUUGAUUUGCAGGCAGUAAGGCAUGAGAUGCAGGCCUGUCUUGUGCCACAUGGUACAGUGUGGUGCUCUUGGACAAAGGCACUGGCAGGGUGGAGACGCCAAAGAGAAGGCUCCACAGCAAGGCAGGCUUGCGAGUAGGGCAUGACAGGAACAGCAGGUACUAAGGCUCAUGGAUCCCAGUAAAGUGUGUUCAAAAUCUUGGUACAAAAGACCCUAACACAUUAGGAACCAAAGUAUUUGCUCUUAAAAAUAUGGCACUAAGUGUAACAAAGCUUUUCCUCAAAUCUACUACUAGAAAACACUCAUGCCAUGGACCAGAG